AGGAAAUGGAAAGAUCUGAGCCCUUCUAGGCAACGGAAACACUGUUAGGAAAACAAGAAACAUGAUACCCAGAGGAAGCACUACGCAGAUCUUCAAUUAGCUCUGAGAGUCUUGCUUCAGAUUGCGUGGACCCUAACAGCUAAUGCUGGAUGAGCGGAGAAGGAUGUCCUAGGGGUAGAGAACAGGAGCAGGAGUCAGAAAAUCUGGGUGCUGUCUUACAGAUUUCCUGGGUAGUGUUGGCCAAAUCACUUCCCGUCUCUGUGUGCCUCAGUUUCCUCACCUCUACCGUGAGAACAAUACAUUCUCUACUUUACCAGCGUGCUGUGAGGGUAGGGAUAAUUGAGAAGAAUGAGCUUGAAGAACAAUGCUGGGCUGUCCUAAUCCCCCUGGACCUCUCUGCAGCAUUCAACACUGUCGACCAUGAGAUCCUGAUGUUUCUCCUGAGAGAGGUGGCAGGGUGCGCAAAAAAGGUUCUGAGUCUUUCCCGGAGGGAUGCACCCCAAGAGUAGUGAUGGGAAACUGAACCUCUGCGACUGGACCCUUCGCUUGUGGAGUCUCCCAAUUCUCGCUCCAGUCCUUUCCAACAUCAACAUGCAGCCAAUGGAUGAACUGUUCAGUCAAUAUGGACUCAAGGGCCAGCAACAUGCAGAUGACACACAGCUCUACCUAUCCUUCGCCACAUACAACCACACUGCUGCCACCAAGAUGGCCCAGUGCUUGGAUGAGAUCGGCUCAUGGAUGAAGAACAGUUGGCUGAAGCUGAAUCCGAGAAAGGCAGAGGUAAUGCUGGUGGGCAGAGGAGAGCAUUUUGAAGAGUCUGCAGCCAUGGUGCAGUCUCUGCUGGUUGAAGGGUAUACACCGACAAUUCGUCAAUUCAGUCUGCAGUUGAGGAGUGCUCACAUAGCAGAAUCCACAAGUAAUGCUUUCUACCAUCUCCAGUUGGCCAGAAGACUCUGUCCCAUCCUGGUGGAUGAUGACUUGGCCUCAAUCAUUCAUGCCACUUCUUAGCUGGACUAGAGCAAUGUGAUAUACCCGGGCAUGAAGCUUUCAGCACAUAGGAAACACCAGCUAGUAUAGGACACCACAGCUCACCUCCUCAGCAACACAAGCUACCGCGAACACAACAGACGUGUCAUUUACUACCUACAUUGGCUUCCCAUAGAAUUUUGCAUCAAGUUCAAGGCCACAAUUCUUAUCUGUAAGGCACCCAUGACCUAAAACCAGUGCAUCUAAAAGAGCGUAAGACUUUUGGGUGAAGACCAUGGCCAACACAUUUGCUCCACUGGCACAAUGGAAUUCUCGUCAGUAAGGAUAAAACUCAUCUGAGCGGGAGACAGAGUUUUCUCAAGGGCUGGGCCAAGUCAGUGUAAUGACCACCCACCCUGCCAGGAACUAAGGACAAUCAUGAAGCUCACCACUUUCUGCUCAAAGUGCAAGGCACAUUUCUUUGACCUUGACUUCUCUAACAGCAACACAUAUGUUAAAAAACUGCCCAAAAUACCCCAGCAAAACAAUACACUCCACUUCAUACAUUUCUCACUCCAAGGAGUGGAGGAGAGAACAAAGGCAGAAAAACACAUGACAGAUGUUAGUCAUGUUGCUUAAUGCACUGCUGGAGAGUGCUCAUAUUCUACAAUGAUGAGCAUGGUAUAAGAAAUUGCACAGAAUAAAAUAGAAGCCAAUGGACUAUUAGAGUCAUCUGACAGAAGAGCUUUGACGAUGACUAUCCAAAAUUUAACUGUUCAUCUCAUAGGAUAAUGCUUUUUCCAUCAUUACUGUACUUUGUUCCUUGCUUCCAAUCUCUUCUCAAGUCUUGUAUAGUAAGAAAGUUUAAUUUUCAUUAUUAUUCUUCUGUACUAACUGGAGGUUCCAAUCAGGAUUGGGCUCACUUUUGUGCUAGGUACAGUACACAUCUGUACAUUAGAGCCUCUCUCCUAAUUUCUAUCUCUCUCUCUUUCACUCACACACACACACACACACUUCAGAUCAGGAGUCACUCAAUGAGUGGUACUUGAGACAUUAAGCUUUAAGACUGGGGCAAAACCCAUGACUUCAAACCAAGCUGCUUUGAAAUUUCAAAAGGUUCCAACCAAUCUCCAGUUCCAGACCUGUUCCUCUGGUUUUCAUUCAGGCUUGAAUCCUGAACUAAAACUGGACUUUGCUGGGAGCUUAUAGAAACAGCUUUCUCACAAGAUUUUUGUCCUAAGCUAAUAAAUUCUACAAGAGCAGCUGAUCUUGUGAGAUUCUCACCACUUCAGUGCUGGAUUUCCUGGGUGUCCCCCCCCCCCCCCCCACAAUCCCCCAGUGGUCAACUAGUUACGUACAACUAGUGUUGACAAUUUAGUUGUUUUCCACUCCCCCCCUCCCCGUAAAUUUGAACACCCCACCUCUAAUUUCAAUUAUUGGGGAAAACACUUGGAUCAAAUCCGAACCCAAAGUCUAGCUUUGAUAUGUUUAGACCUUAAACCUGAAUCACACCGUAAAUACAGACCUAGAGUCACACAACCUCCUCCACCCAUCUCUACAGCUUUCAGUCUAUACAACUACUUUGCUUUUCAGAGUAAUAUCCAUUAAUGUCGGCCACAUGGUUGAGUGAAACCAAACGGAGAGUCCUAAAGCAUCACAUCAAAGCAUGGGCAUAAGCAUUGCAUCCCAUAGUCCAAUGGUGAACACUUCACACUUUCUGAUGGAAUCAUUAUAUACUUAAUUUAAGUAAUUAUUGGUGAAAUUCUCCUAGGUAUGGAGGCACUACUCAAGAAUCUCCUCAUCAAUUAAACUCCAAGGUAAGGCAAUGUAGGGAGUAGCUAUAUGUGUAGAAUGACAUUGUUAUGCUGGAGUGUCUCCAUGCUGGGCAGCUGCAGGGGAGCCCUGGAAUCUGGCUUUAUUUGAGUCCGAGUAGCCCAAAAGCCCCAUAUAGGGUGUACAGAAGGGCAAUAGCCAAUGUUUUAGCCCAAAGCUGUGUCCCCACGUAGUUGCUGUCACAAAGCUAGCUUUCUUACGCUUCCUGUGGUUAAUUUUACCCCUUAUAACUUGCAAGUGAGACUAACACUCAAAGUUACGCUCAUCUGAGAGCACACCCGUUUCGUACAAUUUCAGGGAACCUUCUGGCAAACAGAAAGUAUGGCUCUUGUUCCGAAACCUCAAACCAGCCAAAACUUACCUAGCUGUGGAUUUCACUACAAAAAUGUUUCACACAAUGCCAGUCGUAACAUCAGCUGCAGUUAACAUGUUUCAUAUGGGUCCAAGCUGCGAAGGACUGGACCGUCCCUAAAAUUCAAAGAGGUUUAUGAGUCCAGAGAUACAGGCCCUUCUCUAUUUAUACUAGAAAAAAACCCUACUGGGGUGUACUUUUCAGCAAUGAGCCUAAAUCAACCCCCUGGCUCUGAACAAAAUUCACAUCCAGCUGUGGAUCCAAACACUUGAGACCGUUUCUGUUGGAAUGCCAACAACUGCGCCUACUUAAGUCACUUAAUAGAUUACCACCCCCAACUCAGGUCACAAUAAUUUGCCUCAUAGCGUAAAUUUACCCUUGACCCUGUUAGACUAAGGGGUGUAGAUCGGGGAGAAUUUUGCCUUGGAGACAACAAUAGGCAGUAGAAAUAGAAAAUAUGUUAGUUUUAAAGAAGAGUAAUAAGAAAGAUAAAUCUCCAGACCCUCUAUAAAUAAUCUGGACCAGAAAAAUACACAAGAUGUGUCAUAGAAUGGUAGCAUGUUAAGAACGGGGAAAGUUUCUAAAAUUAAUUUCGUUCAUUUUAGUUUAUUAAAAUUGCUUUCAUUUAUCUCU